rnacentral:lncRNA from 1 species
UAGCCCAGCUCGGAUUGCGCUAACAAGUGUACCGUAGAGGCUGCUAGGCGGCGUCAGACCAAAGACCUGGCUUUCACGUUUGUCUCAGUUAAGGGAAGCAAGCGAACAUUUCAUCCCUCCUGUCUCGUAUACCCACCAGUCCCCCUGCCCCUGCUUGCUGGUCUCUGUUACAUCCCAUGCUAGUAGCUUUUAGGCAGCGUUGCAUAUUAACCCUCACGAGCCAUUCGCUUAUGCUUAUUGCAUUUUAUUUUCUUUUUCCUGUUCCCCUGUAUUGGAUGUCUGUCCUGCCCCCAACCCCGCCUCCUUUUGUUGCCACUCCAUCUCCUUUGCUGCUGCUCCUAUCCCAGGGUGCCAUUCGCACCAACCUCUCACUGCAUAAGUGCUUUAUCAGAGUAGAGGAUGAGUUUGGGUCCUUUUGGACAGUUGAUGAUGAAGAGUUUAUACGUGGCCGCCAUAUUCAACGAGGCCGUCCUCGCAAAUACUGCCCCGGUGAAAACUCUGACGAGCUUGGCGCACAGUAAGAGCCUUUACUUGCUUUGUUCUCUUGUGUCUGCUGUUGCUUUGGCUUUGCAUGGUUGACUCAUCCCAUGUGGUAUGACAUUCCACCCAAGAGCAGUGCCACAGCUUUCCGCGGCAGGGACUGAACGGUGUGAUGUGUACGCGUACCUCGCUCAUUUCUCUUUGGAACGCCAGUGCCUAGAACAAUGCUUUUCCUGUGUCUCUAAUGCCGAUGAUGAUUGACCACAUUUUGAUCCAGCAGCUUACGGGGAGCCCUCAAAGCUAGAUACUUCCCGUGUUACCCACAAUUCCCGCAAAUGAAAGGAAGUGGUGGUUACCAUAUGUAUGUGGUGGGAUAAUUAUUUUGCCUGUUCGAGCAGCAAUCAUUACCAACACACUAGGUGUGGGGGCGUGCGCCUGUCUGUAAUGACAGCCCCUGGGAAGCUGAGGCAGGAAGGCUGCACAUCCCAGGACAGCCUAGGCUUUUUGUAGAGAGACCCUGUCUCGGAAAAAAAAAAAAAAAAA